rnacentral:rRNA from 1 species
UACGUAGGGGGCUAGCGUUGUCCGGAUUUAUUGGGCGUAAAGAGCGUGUAGGCGGCUAGAUAGGUCCGUUGUGAAAACUCGAGGCUCAACCUCGAGACGUCGAUGGAAACCAUCUGGCUAGAGUCCGGAAGAGGAGAGUGGAAUUCCUGGUGUGAGACGGUGAAAUGCGCAGAUAUCAGGAAGAACACCCGUGGCGAAGGCGGCUCUCUGGUACGUGACUGACGCUGAGACGCGAAAGCGUGGGGAGCAAACAGG